AGAAUAUUAAGUCCAAAGAAAAAGCUUCUAACUUUUUUUUAAGCAGUUUAACUCUGUUUAUAUUCUA
rnacentral:tRNA from 1 species